rnacentral:lncRNA from 1 species
UGGAGCCGGUGUUUUCGAGGGAGAGUAUUUUGUCAUCUAUAACAAUAUUCUGUUUCUUUGCUUCAACACUAUUAGUAGUAAGUAGUAGUAUUAGAUUUGAUAUUCCUCCCAUUUUCCAGCUGGAUUUGUAUUGUUUUAUGAAGAAAGAUUGGAUGGAUUGUCCGUCCGUCCGUCCCUCCCUCCCUCCGUCUUUACUUCAAAUUUCCCUUCUCUUCCUGGAAUUUGACGCCAUUCAUCUUGUUCUGUAGCAGAAUUUAUACACCCACACCCACUUAUGCAUAAUCUUCGUGCAUUGCCAUCACAAUUUAUCCAUUGGAAUAAUACUCUCAUUUUAAGUACCCAAACAUAAAACUGAGCAUCAUUAUAUUAUUAUAAAAGGAAUGCUCUCAUUCCAUUCCAAACAGCCCAAUAGGGUUUCUUUUGAAGGGUUUCUGAAAGAUCUUGUUUAUUCCUCCUACACAAUCCAAAAGAAAGAAUAUUCUACUUAUAAACUGACUGACUGAGAUGAAGUAGUAAUGUAUGAUCCCCCAUCGAUGCAUACACGCACUCACUCCUCCAUAUCUACAUUCAAAAUUGUACCAUCUCCUUUUCAAAAUUGUAGUACGCACGCUCUCUGUUUUAUACAUUUUAAAAUUAUAUAUACAAUUUUAUUCGACUCAAAUCUAACAUAUCAUUACUUAAUAAAAUUAAUUUUUUAUAUUUUUACCAUUAAAAUUUGUUAUUUUCAUAUGAGAGGUACAGUGGUACCUAUGUGAAAAUUUUCAUUUCCCUUACUUAAUCCUUAAUUGAUAAAAUAAAAAUAGUAUCAUGCCA